rnacentral:lncRNA from 1 species
AGUGUUUUUGAUUUAGAGUUUAUGAUUUAUCCAAGGGUCUAGGAUUUACCCAAAGGGUUUAGGAUUUUAGAUUUAGGGUUUAGGGAUUAGGAUUUAGGGUUUAGUUUUUUCCUGACGACGUCAAAUUUUUUUUUUUUGUAACUAUUACUAUUUUUUAUCUUUUUAUUUUAAAAACAUAAUAUAACUUGACAAUAUUUUGUUUCCUUUUAUAAAAGAUAUCAAAUUUGAAAUAACAUAAUUUUAUUGGUUGGUGAACCUAGAGAUUCACCCUAGGGAGUGAACCCAAGAAUAAGUCCUAAAAAAUUGGAAGUCAAUUACAUCUAUAUUAUUAAAAAGUUAUGGGUCUAUGUUACUUGAUAUAUAUAUUCAAAUCAAAAUAAUAAUUUAAAAUUGAUUUAUAUCAAAAAUUCAUUCAAAAAUAAAUGUACAUUCAAAAAUAAACAUAUUUUUCAAUAACUAUUAUAAAAAUGUUUUCAAUAUAUAUAAGAAAAAUACAAUACAAAGCCCAAUUUCAAACACCAACUUAGAUUAUGAUUUUUAUAUUUCACAUUAAAUUUUAAAAUAUAAUUUAUUUGAUUAUUUAUAUGAUUG